GGGUUGUGAGGUUAAGCGACUAAGCGUACACGGUGGAUGCCCUGGCAGUCAGAGGCGAUGAAGGACGUGCUAAUCUGCGAUAAGCGUCGGUAAGGUGAUAUGAACCGUUAUAACCGGCGAUUUCCGAAUGGGGAAACCCAGUGUGUUUCGACACACUAUCAUUAACUGAAUCCAUAGGUUAAUGAGGCGAACCGGGGGAACUGAAACAUCUAAGUACCCCGAGGAAAAGAAAUCAACCGAGAUUCCCCCAGUAGCGGCGAGCGAACGGGGAGCAGCCCAGAGCCUGAAUCAGUGUGUGUGUUAGUGGAAGCGUCUGGAAAGGCGCGCGAUACAGGGUGACAGCCCCGUACACAAAAAUGCACAUACUGUGAGCUCGAUGAGUAGGGCGGGACACGUGGUAUCCUGUCUGAAUAUGGGGGGACCAUCCUCCAAGGCUAAAUACUCCUGACUGACCGAUAGUGAACCAGUACCGUGAGGGAAAGGCGAAAAGAACCCCGGCGAGGGAGUGAAAAGAACCUGAAACCGUGUACGUACAAGCAGUGGGAGCCUCUUAAUGGGGUGACUGCGUACCUUUUGUAUAAUGGGUCAGCGACUUAUAUUCUGUAGCAAGGUUAACCGAAUAGGGGAGCCGAAGGGAAACCGAGUCUUAACUGGGCGUUAAGUUGCAGGGUAUAGACCCGAAACCCGGUGAUCUCAGCCAUGGGCAGGUUGAAGGUUGGGUAACACUAACUGGAGGACCGAACCGACUAAUGUUGAAAAAUUAGCGGAUGACUUGUGGCUGGGGGUGAAAGGCCAAUCAAACCGGGAGAUAGCUGGUUCUCCCCGAAAGCUAUUUAGGUAGCGCCUCGUGAAUUCAUCUCCGGGGGUAGAGCACUGUUUCGGCAAGGGGGUCAUCCCGACUUACCAACCCGAUGCAAACUGCGAAUACCGGAGAAUGUUAUCACGGGAGACACACGGCGGGUGCUAACGUCCGUCGUGAAGAGGGAAACAACCCAGACCGCCAGCUAAGGUCCCAAAGUCAUGGUUAAGUGGGAAACGAUGUGGGAAGGCCCAGACAGCCAGGAUGUUGGCUUAGAAGCAGCCAUCAUUUAAAGAAAGCGUAAUAGCUCACUGGUCGAGUCGGCCUGCGCGGAAGAUGUAACGGGGCUAAACCAUGCACCGAAGCUGCGGCAGCGACACUGUGUGUUGUUGGGUAGGGGAGCGUUCUGUAAGCCUGUGAAGGUGUACUGUGAGGUAUGCUGGAGGUAUCAGAAGUGCGAAUGCUGACAUAAGUAACGAUAAAGCGGGUGAAAAGCCCGCUCGCCGGAAGACCAAGGGUUCCUGUCCAACGUUAAUCGGGGCAGGGUGAGUCGACCCCUAAGGCGAGGCCGAAAGGCGUAGUCGAUGGGAAACAGGUUAAUAUUCCUGUACUUGGUGUUACUGCGAAGGGGGGACGGAGAAGGCUAUGUUGGCCGGGCGACGGUUGUCCCGGUUUAAGCGUGUAGGCUGGUUUUCCGUGCAAAUCCGGAAAAUCAAGGCUGAGGCGUGAUGACGAGGCACUACGGUGCUGAAGCAACAAAUGCCCUGCUUCCGUGAAAAGCCUCUAAGCAUCAGGUAACAUCAAAUCGUACCCCAAACCGACACAGGUGGUCAGGUAGAGAAUACCAAGGCGCUUGAGAGAACUCGGGUGAAGGAACUAGGCAAAAUGGUGCCGUAACUUCGGGAGAAGGCACGCUGAUAUGUAGGUGAAGUCCCUUGCGGAUGGAGCUGAAAUCAGUCGAAGAUACCAGCUGGCUGCAACUGUUUAUUAAAAACACAGCACUGUGCAAACACGAAAGUGGACGUAUACGGUGUGACGCCUGCCCGGUGCCGGAAGGUUAAUUGAUGGGGUUAGCGGUAACGCGAAGCUCUUGAUCGAAGCCCCGGUAAACGGCGGCCGUAACUAUAACGGUCCUAAGGUAGCGAAAUUCCUUGUCGGGUAAGUUCCGACCUGCACGAAUGGCGUAAUGAUGGCCAGGCUGUCUCCACCCGAGACUCAGUGAAAUUGAACUCGCUGUGAAGAUGCAGUGUACCCGCGGCAAGACGGAAAGACCCCGUGAACCUUUACUAUAGCUUGACACUGAACAUUGAGCCUUGAUGUGUAGGAUAGGUGGGAGGCUUUGAAGUGUGGACGCCAGUCUGCAUGGAGCCGGCCUUGAAAUACCACCCUUUAAUGUUUGAUGUUCUAACGUUGGCCCCUGAUCGGGGUUGCGGACAGUGUCUGGUGGGUAGUUUGACUGGGGCGGUCUCCUCCUAAAGAGUAACGGAGGAGCACGAAGGUUGGCUAAUCCUGGUCGGACAUCAGGAGGUUAGUGCAAUGGCAUAAGCCAGCUUGACUGCGAGCGUGACGGCGCGAGCAGGUGCGAAAGCAGGUCAUAGUGAUCCGGUGGUUCUGAAUGGAAGGGCCAUCGCUCAACGGAUAAAAGGUACUCCGGGGAUAACAGGCUGAUACCGCCCAAGAGUUCAUAUCGACGGCGGUGUUUGGCACCUCGAUGUCGGCUCAUCACAUCCUGGGGCUGAAGUAGGUCCCAAGGGUAUGGCUGUUCGCCAUUUAAAGUGGUACGCGAGCUGGGUUUAGAACGUCGUGAGACAGUUCGGUCCCUAUCUGCCGUGGGCGCUGGAGAACUGAGGGGGGCUGCUCCUAGUACGAGAGGACCGGAGUGGACGCAUCACUGGUGUUCGGGUUGUCAUGCCAAUGGCACUGCCCGGUAGCUAAAUGCGGAAGAGAUAAGUGCUGAAAGCAUCUAAGCACGAAACUUGCCCCGAGAUGAGUUCUCCCUGACUCCUUGAGAGUCCUGAAGGAACGUUGAAGACGACGACGUUGAUAGGCCGGGUGUGUAAGCGCAGCGAUGCGUUGAGCUAACCGGUACUAAUGAACCGUGAGGCUUAACCUUACAACGCCGAAGGUGUUU
rnacentral:rRNA from 1 species